rnacentral:rRNA from 1 species
AAUAGAUACCCGGGUAGUCCACGCCGUAAACGCUGGGCGCUAGAUGUGGGGACCUUUCCACGGUUUCCGUGUCGUAGCUAACGCAUUAAGCGCCCCGCCUGGGGAGUACGGCCGCAAGGCUAAAACUCAAAGGAAUUGACGGGGGCCCGCACAAGCGGCGGAGCAUGCGGAUUAAUUCGAUGCAACGCGAAGAACCUUACCAAGGCUUGACAUGACCGAGAACGCCCUAGAAAUAGGGAACUCUUUGGACACUCGGUUACAGGUGGUGCAUGGUUGUCGUCAGCUCGUGUCGUGAGAUGUUGGGUUAAGUCCCGCAACGAGCGCAACCCUCGUCGCAUGUUGCCAGCACGUUAUGGUGGGGACUCAUGUGAGACUGCCGGGGUCAACUCGGAGGAAGGUGGGGAUGACGUCAAAUCAUCAUGCCCCUUAUGUCUUGGGCUUCACGCAUGCUACAAUGGCCGGUACAAAGGGCUGCGAUGUCGUAAGGCGGAGCGAAUCCCAAAAAGCCGGUCUCAGUUCGGAUUGAGGUCUGCAACUCG